rnacentral:rRNA from 1 species
CCCUUAGACGUUCUGGGCCGCACGCGCGCUACACUGACCAGUGCAACAAGCAUCCGUCCUUGGCCGACAGGCCCGGGCAAUCUUUGAACGCUGGUCGUGAUGGGGAUAGACUUUUGCAAUUUUUGGUCUUCAACGAGGAAUUCCUAGUAAACGCAAGUCAUCAACUUGCAUUGAUUACGUCCCUGCCCUUUGUACACACCGCCCGUCGCACCUACCGAUCGAAUGGUCCGGUGAAGCCUCCGGAUUGGCGCGCACCUCGGUGCCGCCGAGAAGUUGGCUAAACCUUACCAUUUAGAGGAAGGUGAAGUCGUAACA